GACGAACGCUGGCGGCGUGCCUAAUACAUGCAAGUCGAGCGAAUCUGAUGGGAGCUUGCUCCUUGAUGAUUAGCGGCGGACGGGUGAGUAACACGUGGGUAACCUGCCUGUAAGACUGGGAUAACUCCGGGAAGCCGGGGCUAAUACCGGAUAACUUUUUUCUUCGCAUGAGGGAGAAUUGAAAGAUGGCUUCGGCUAUCACUUACAGAUGGACCCGCGGCGCAUUAGCUAGUUGGUGAGGUAACGGCUCACCAAGGCGACGAUGCGUAGCCGACUUGAGAGGGUGAUCGGCCACACUGGGACUGAGACACGGCCCAGACUCCUACGGGAGGCAGCAGUAGGGAAUCUUCCGCAAUGGACGAAAGUCUGACGGAGCAACGCCGCGUGAGUGAUGAAGGUUUUCGGAUCGUAAAACUCUGUUGUUAGGGAAGAACAAGUAUCGUUCGAAUAGGGCGGUACCUUGACGGUACCUAACCAGAAAGCCACGGCUAACUACGUG
rnacentral:rRNA from 1 species